rnacentral:rRNA from 1 species
UACGUAGGGAGCGAGCGUUGUCCGGAAUGAUUGGGCGUAAAGGGCGUGUAGGCGGCUUCUUAAGUCUGAAGUGAAACCCCUGGAUUCAAUUCAGGGCCUGCUUUGGAAACUGGGGAGCUUGAGUGCAGGAGAGGUUAUCGGAAUUCCCGGUGUAGCGGUGAAAUGCGUAGAGAUCGGGAGGAACACCAGUGGCGAAGGCGGGUAACUGGACUGUAACUGACGCUAAGGCGCGAAAGUGUGGGGAG